UGAGAUGGCUCAGUCGGUAGAGCAUGAGACUCUUUAAUUGCAGGGUUGUGGGUUCGAGUCCCAGUUGGGCAAAA